AUAAUAAUUUUAAUUGCUAUAUCAUUGAAGGCUCGUCCUCAUAGAAACUAAUUGCCAGUGGCCCACACUCGCGACCCAGUUGAAAGACGGUAAAACCUUGGGUAGGAUGCCUUGCUGUAGAACAAUACUUGACCAUUAUUAUAUAGUCUGACUCGUACGCAGAGACCCACAACGGGCAUCCGAUCAAAAACGGAGAUCCAAUCAAAAAACAGGUACACCAGAAAGGUAUAUCUGAUGGUUGGAGAAUAACAAUUGUGAAAGAGUUGUUCAAUAGACAUAUCAAUUGUCCAUGUGCCAAGGGCCCCAGUUCAGGAUCCAAUCAGAAUGCGUCUUGUUUUUCGGAUAUGCAAUUCUGCCGACCCACACCGGCAAUCUAAUCAAAAGACUGGUAAACGCUGAGGGGUAGCUAUAAUCAGUGAAGUAUAAUGUUGGGAAAUAUUGUGAGGUAGAGUGAGAGGGGUCUGCCACGUGGCCAAGGACUCUGUCAAAUAUUGUUCGUCCAGGUUCGUAUUCUUCCUCUCCCUUUCCAUCGUCUCUGCGACGAGCGAUCAACUGGAUCGUCUCUGGUUCCUCAUCCAUUGAUCGAUCGAUCGAUCCAUCCCUUCUUCUUCGAUCUGGAGAGAAGAGGUGGAAGAUCCGGUUGUUCGUAGCAACAGAGGAGGAGGAAGGAGGAGGAGGAAGAAGAGGAUUUGUUAUUGGUGUAGAAAAGAGGAAUGACGUAUAAGGCGGACGAGGAUUACGAUUACCUGUUCAAGGUGGUUGUGAUAGGAGACUCCGGGGUGGGGAAGACGAACCUGCUCUCUCGAUUCUCCCGCAACGAGUUCAGCACCGAGUCCAAGUCCACCAUCGGCGUCGAGUUCGCAACCCGCACCAUCAGCGUCGACGACAAGCUCGUCAAGGCGCAGAUCUGGGACACCGCCGGCCAGGAAAGAUAUCGUGCCAUUACUAGUGCUUAUUAUCGAGGAGCUGCUGGUGCCCUUAUUGUCUAUGAUGUGACUCGCCAUAUCACCUUUGAAAAUGUAGAGAGAUGGCUGAAAGAACUAAAGAAUCACACAGAUCAAAAUGUAGUCAUCAUGCUUGUGGGCAACAAGGCAGACUUGCGCCACAUUAGGUCUGUCCCUCUUGAAGACGCACAGGCCUUUGCUCAAAGAGAGAAAGCUUUCUUCGUCGAGACCUCUGCCCUCGAGUCCAUGAACGUGGAGAAUGCCUUCACUGAAGUACUCACUCAGAUCUACCACGUGGUCAGCAAGAAGAUGCUAGACGUUGGUGAUGAUCCUUCAGCCGUGCCAAAGGGACAAAAUAUUAAGAUCGGGGAGGGUGACGGUGCACAAGCCUCUAAGAAAGCCGGUUGUUGCUCGGAUGGCUGAUCCCUAGCAAUACGCUACUUGCCAUUUUCCAAUAGGCUCAAGCGGGAAGGAGAUUGGAGAAGACGGGGAGAAACUACGGAAGGAGGCGGAGGCAGAUGGCGCUUCAACAUUGAGGCUGCUACUCUCAAUCGUCAAGCUUUUUCUGGGCCAAUAUGAUCUUACAGAGGGCACAGCUGAUGGAAAGGAGUGAAAUGACAUCCACAGACGACUCUGAUAAUGUCACUUGGGAUCCAGAAGAACUGUUGCGCCACAAAGGUUAGAUACUGAAUCAAAACAUUUAACUGGUAGUUUUGAACUUCUCAUCAGAAACACAUACAAAAACCAAGUGUUGGAGGCCUCACAAGAAAACUAAAAGCCAUAGACGCCAUUUGUGAAAGCUGCGAAAAACUAAGCCACAAAGUGAGUCAAGUCUAAAAAUUUGGUCAUUGACUCUUGGCAUCUAACAUAGUAUGGCACCUCCUUUUUUAUCGUACACUUGACCAGCAAGAAAACUCCUAAAGAAUGUUCUCUAGAGCAGGAACUCAGAAGGGUAAAAUCUUGGAUGACAAUGUAAUGUUUUGGAAUUGCUGAGAGCUGGACCACCAAUGAACUGGCUACUAAGUUGACAGGAAGAAGAUCUCAAAACAAGGACACCUGUAUGAUUAAGAAAUAGAGAGGGAAAAAGGAGCAUUAAAGGAUGGCGGGGGUGUCUUGAUGCAACCAUUUGAUGUUCAAGUCAAUGGAGUCGAUGCGAAAGAUGUUCAGUAGAGAAAAUAUAAUGUGUGCCCAG